UCGUAAGGUCACACACGCUUUAAGCAGUGGCAGGAUUUUCUGCCUGACCUUCUACAUAGCACGGCAUCAGAGGAGAGUGGUGGCCCUGGACAUCCCAGGAGCUGCUUCUGCCAAACUGCAGAUGGCCUGCAGUGAUCCCUGCUCUCUGACAAGACACCGCAAAUCUCUGGGAGGUGAUGCCUGCAGUCAGAGCUGGAACGAGCAGGAUCCUUCCCUCCUUGCCAGAAGCCCAGUGCUGUGUUUGUGGAGCAGAGUGCACAGGAUGGAAGCAGAUGAACAGGAAUACACAUGAAUACAUCACCAACUCUUACUGACCAUUACAUGAAGUUGUCUGGACCAACGGAACAACAUCCUGUGUGUGACACAGCAUCUUGAGUCAGCAUUUGCAUCAUUCAACCCUUUAUCUGCAUAGGUCACUUUUCAUUUCUGCUGAGCCCAAGGAACUGUGGCCAUGGUUGUCCCAUCAUCAUACUUCACUCAUGAGCAGCUCACCCAGAGCUCUGGCUCUGCAAACACUGACAGUAACCAGGCAGUAAUAAGUCUCACUGUUUGGGACCACAAACAUGAUCUCUGUGGAAAUCACCAUUUCAGAUAGCUACAUUUUGAAAUCCCCAUGUCAUAGCCUAACCUGAAACUUCAUCAGUCUUCGUGUGUAUUCCUGCUGUUCCAAACCAUGGUCUCUGUGUCUGGAGAUCCUCCAUUCAAACCAUCUCUUUCCAGCAUAGCGUACAUGUACGGGCACAAUGAGGCCUGCUCUGUUUGGUACCAGGUCUGUCAUAAGCCUGCCUUUGGUGCUGUGAAAAGGAGACUUGUGUCUACUGGAGAUGCAGGAGGGGGAAGUGUCUGGUGCUAUUCCUCCACCUGGGAGUUUUGUGGACUCACAGUGUGCUGGGACCUGAGCUGUUACUGUAAGUCCUGUACAUCCUUUCUCAUGUGCUGCUUUUCCAGGUGAACACAUUUGACUGCCCAAAACCAACCCAUGACCACAGCUGACAGCAAUGGUGACUGAAACACUAUCCAUAGAGGGUGCCCACUCCACAAGAUGAGAAUGUCUCCUAGCUCCUAGUCUGGAUGAGACAGAGCAGCUUUCUGCCCCUAUGAACUAACGGAGCUAGGGCUGUGGCUGCAUUCCUGAUUUGACCAGCCCUGAUGAGACCCAGCCUGCAUCUCCCCACGUGCAGAGGGGCUGCCCUUGUGAGAGAGCACAUUUGGGAGCUGGGAGAGAGGGGAAGAGUUGCACUGACAUGCACUGCAGGCAGAAAACCCUUCUGAAGAAUACGCGUUUCAGUGCUACCGACUCUUUUUUGCUUCUCUCCCAGAGCACUGCAGGGGCUUGAGCAUGCUGGGUGUCUGCAGCCUCUCGUGUUUCCUGUUUUCAUUCCAGUAUCUGAAAUGCUAACAUACUGCAUGCCUUGAAUUCCAGCCCUGACGCACCAGGAAAAGGGGCCAAGGGCAGAUGCAUGGGAGUCUUGGAGCCUUUCGUGCCCUUUCCUCAGUCAGGCUGGGGAUAUUGAUAACUCCCUGAUUCUGUCCUUCAUCCACUUUCCUCCCUUCUCUCAUCUCUUUCCAAGACUUUCUGUAUUAUCCCUCACUAUUUAAUGCUAGCAUAUUCUUCUGGCAGAGAAGGGCUCUGAUUUGCCCUUCUUUGCUAAAAGCAGCAGCCAGAAGAGCUCCCUUUCUGAAUCAGAAAGGGAUGAUUCAGAAAGUGUGUACAAAAGAUUGCUCUGAGAUUCAUGAGCUUUUGCAAAAUAUGUAACAUAGUGGACAUAAUACCAUUUCCCCAUUGUAGUGAUAGCUUGCUAAUUCCUCCCUCUUCAUGGUAUAAAUCAGGAGUAAAACCCUUUAGGCAGUGGAAGGAUUCUUUUAGCAAAUAUUUAAUAACACUGCUUUCUGCGCAGCAUCAACCAGACGCAUCUGUUACGUGCCGUCCCUCAAGUCCCCAUCCAGCACGCACACCGUGCCCAAGACACACAAAACAUGCAGAUUUGGCAAUUCGUGAUUUAAGAGACAAAUCCUGACAAAAUUACAGUGGUUAGUUGAGGCCAGAUGUUGAGAGCAGAAAUGUGGACUCUAAGCUGUGGCCAAGGCAAAACCCAAGCAACGUGCAAUGGCACGGGAGCUUUCCAGCCCCAUCUGCAGCACCUGCUGUUGGCAGGACCCACUCUCAUUUCAUCCCCUGCUAAUGUCUGCAGGAGCUCAUGUCACUGCUCAGCUUUGGCCAAGGCAAAGCUGGUAGCUGUGCCCACAGACGGGCAAGACAUGUACUGCAAUUUCCAGUACUGAUAGCAUCGCUCAAAGGAUUUCUUCCAAAAACUGUGCUGGCCCAGGGGCAGCUGCCUUUCCCCAUGAGGAAGGUGACAGUAGUGUGAGAGUGAGUCACGGAGAAGCAGCAGAUUUCCACCCAAAGUGGAGCUUUCUCCACACAUAGCCAUCCCACUCUGCCCAUGACUUUGAGCUUGCAGCUUUUCUGUCCCAAAAGAAAGCAGCUCCACUUUUUUAUGUACCUACUGCCUGUUCCUCUGUGACUCCCUGCCUGCCCCCUCUCCCAGCUUCAGGGACCUGAAUAUCCCAGACCCACUGUCAGUGUGGAGAGGAGUGGGGCAGGGAGGGAAGGAUCAUCUCCAGGUGGCAUAAGAGAUAAGGGCAGAGGAGCAGCAGUGAAAGACCACUCCAGCAGGACAGCAGGUCUCAGCCCAACCCACAGAGUUCAGGUUUCCAGCCUAGGAUCAGCUGUCUUUGAGGGCUACUACUCAGGUGUCUCUGCAAGAUCAGAUAACCCUUCAGAUAACAGCAGACUUUAGUCCCGAGGCACAGCUCACACUCCUGGAAGUGCCUUAAGGACAUGGAAGCUGAAACCCCCUGUGCUGGACGAGAGCAGCUCCUGCUCAUGGAGAUGUUGUGAAGCGAGGCAAUGCCCUGUGCUCCCUGCAGGCCAUGCGGAGCCAUUGGGGCUGCAGCAUCCUCCGUCCCCCAGCUGCAGCUGCCCAUCCACAGGGGGAUCCUGAACACAGCACCCAGAAGCUUCGUGGGCUGACCCCAACUCCUCUGAGACCACUUCAGCUCCAUGUCAGUAGUUGGUUCCUUUGUUUUGGGCUUCUCAUGAAAACUUCUCUUUUUCAUUGUUUAAAACCAUAUCCUAUUCCCAGCAUCUUGAACUGAAAGGUAUAAAAGACAAAUGGUUUCUCGCACAAUGUUUUAAUUAUUUAGUUAAAGAAGGGGCUGUAUUUUGUCUUAUUUUACUCACUUAGAGACACAGGCAGUUUAAAGUGGACAUGCAAUUAAUUAAAAUUGAUAGCUCUACUUUUUCAGGAAGCUUAUUUUUUUUUAAAAAUGUUGCUUUCACUAGUGUUUUCUUUUUACUACCUUCACCAUCCUCUCCCUUACUUUUUACCUUUGCUGCAUCUGAGACAUGUUUUUCUUGUGAGAAAAGUAAAAAAAAAAUUGAAAAACAGAAAACCACGUGAGAGAUGAGAAAAAGUGAUCAAAUUGCCUAUUUCUUCUAGGUCAAAAGCACAGAAUCGGUGUGCAAUGUUCUCCAGCAUUCUUGCACAGCUCUAGGAAAGAGGCUUGUUCUGAAAAGGCUGUUCUGAUGAAAUCACAUUUUCCAUUACCAAAAAAAAAAAAAAAAAAAAAAAA